GCCCAAGUUCCUGUCUCCAGCCCACGAUUUGCUGAUCCAUCUGUCUUCCUCAGAGAGAGAGGGCGGAUAAUGCAGACUGCGCUUCCUUGGAAGACGGCAGGCUCCAGGCCAGAUAAACGAAUGUAUCAACCAUAUAGAUGAAGAGCUGAGGCUCAGGGAAGGAACUUGCCAAGGUCACGAAGCUGUAAGACACAGAGCCUGGGGUGUCUGCCUGCAGAGCUCACACUGACUCUACAGCCACUGAUCCAAAGCUUCAGCAAGGGGGUCUUUCUAGCAGGGCUCCCCCAGGAUGAGCAAGAGAUGAAGUGACCCUCCAACCCCACAGCUCAGAGUCUUUCUUGAAGCUCCAACUCCAGGGCCAUUGUUUUCGUGUUCUCCCCACUCCAAGGCCUCUCCUCUGUCCUUGGCCCAACUCUCUGACCAUGAUGCAGGCUCAUGGAUUAGUGGGUUACCAUGGGAGCGGAACUGGCGGCUUUAUAAGAGGAGGAAGAGAGACCUGGGCUAGUACAUUAAGAUUCUCAGCCCCCUUACCAUGUGAUGACCUGUGCCACCUGGGGACACUGCAGAGUCCCCACCAGCAAGAAGGCUCUCACCAGACUUAGCCCGUCAACACUGGAC